ACGCUCGACACCUACGGGAGGUAGCAGUGGGGAAUAUUGCACAAUGGGGGAAACCCUGAUGCAGCGACGCCGCGUGGAGGAAGAGGGUCUUCGGAUUGUAAACUCCUGUUGUUGGGGAAAAAGAGGAUGGUACCCAACAAGGAAGUGACGGCUAACUACGUUCCAGCAGCCGCGGUAAUCUGAGCGGGCUGGCAAGGC
rnacentral:rRNA from 1 species